GCAAAUAUUAUAAAAUACUGUUCAAAAAUCAUUUUUAAAAGCACUUUAUAAAAAAAUGCAGAAAGAAGUAAAAAAUAAAUGCCCCCGACAUUUUUCAUUUUUAUUAUUCAUUUUUUAUUUUUAUUUUUUCUUUUUUCAUUUUCCAAUCAAUCCUCAGUUUCUCUCUUUACCCCCAAUCCUCUCUCUCUCUCUCUCUCUCUCUCUCUCGUUCGACUCAGACUCUCUCUCUACCCCCAAUCCUCUCACAUCGCUCCUCGCUUUCUCUCUGGUCGCUCCUUGCUUUCUCUCUCUACCCCACUCCCUUUUCUCCCUAGCUCGACUCAGACUGGUCUCUCCUCUCUCCUCGCUCUUCAAUGGAGAGCUUGAUCUACCAAAAUUAUACUGCGAACACAAUCCCGGUUGGAGUUUGAUUUGGGAGCCAAAUCGACAUCUGAUUCGCCAAAACAGGCCAACAAUCAUCGACGUUAUCUCCAUUUUUGUCCACUCACAGUUUCUUCAAUCGCAUUGCUUAUAGUUGCCUCUUUAAGGACACAAAUAUGGAUAAGAGUUGGAUUCACAGAUCAAGAGUGAGCGAAGAAUAUGUAGAAGGAGUUGGAAACUUAAACCACGAGAUUAUUUUGAAGAAGAAGGUCACGGGAAGGAGGUGGUGGAUGACAUUCCUCCACAAGCAUAAAGAAGCUUGAAAUGUGUUUUGCAACUUUUUGUAGUCAUGAGUCAUUCUUUUGUAAAACACCAUCUUGAAAUGUAAUAAAUUUGCUUAGCAUGGCCUUGUAAUAUAACUAUCGACCUUGAUGCUAUUUUGAUGUAAAUUGAGCUAAGUGUAAUGACUAUGUAUUAUUUCUUAGUUA